rnacentral:rRNA from 1 species
UACGUAGGGUGCGAGCGUUAAUCGGAAUUACUGGGCGUAAAGCGUGCGCAGGCGGUUCGUUGUGUCGGUGGUGAAAUCCCCGGGCUUAACCUGGGAAUGGCCAUGGAAACUGGCGAACUGGAGUGUGGCAGAGGGGGGUGGAAUUCCGCGUGUAGCAGUGAAAUGCGUAGAGAUGCGGAGGAACACCGAUGGCGAAGGCAGCCCCCUGGGCUAGCACUGACGCGCAGGCACGAAAGCGUGGGGAGCAAACAGG